GAUAGAGGCCUCUAGAUGUUUGAAUUAAGGAAAAAAAGCACCCCUGAACUCAGGCACCAGCUGAAAAGAGUCUUUCUUGUCAGGGACAGGAGACACCAUGCUGGAGUCAAUGGGCACUUGCACUGAGAAGCUUCGAGAGUCACACUGCUCUGUGUGUUUCAACUCUGCUCUGAUGGUGGAGUCUCCUCUGAAGAUUUCUGAACAGGGGAAAGAUGCAACCAGAUCUAUAUUUUAAAAAUCCCACAUUGAAGGAGAAUGAAAGCAACAGAAAUGUAUUAGAAAUACCGUCACAGCACAGAAAGGGAUGACGGUGGCCCCUGCUGGGUCAGUGGCAAUGGGAAAGGAGGGCUGGGGAUGGGUUUGAGAGAAGUGUCAGCUGUAUGCUUGUCAGAAUAAUGUGUGACUUUGCUAUGUGGUCUCAGUGAGAACUGGAACAGAAAAACAGUUGGCCAUGAAAAUAUUGAUGACUCUUGACUAGGCAUGCUUGGUGAAGAUAACACAAUUUUUCUGUUUUAUCUGUAAAAUGGGUAUGAGAACACAUAUUAAAAAGAUGUUAUGAAGUUUAAACAUAGCAAAUACACUCUCCUGUGCAGAGAAAUAUCAAUAAAUGUUUGUUAUUAUCACUUCCUCUGUAUUUUGUAUCACCUCACAAUUGGGUUAAUGUCAAUAUACUGCUCUGCUUUCAUGAGAUAGUUUAGUUAAUAUUUAAAUCUAAGAUAUAAUUUCUCAUUUUGAGGGAAGAUUUCAUUCUAGUGAGAUGUGGGUACAUAUAUAUAUGGCUAUAGUUAUAUUACUUUAAUGUCAAGAUAAAAAUAGAUACUAUCCUGUAAAUGAAAGUUAGAGCAAGUGAAGUGUGUUUAUAAAGAUUUACGUAUAGCACUAAAUUAAUUUCUGAGGACUAAGGUAUUUGCAGUCAUUUCAUUUCAUUCUGAUAACAAGUACAAAUGAGCAUGUCAAAAAUGAUGACAAUUAUUAUGCUUUUAUAAUUUGAUUUCUUACAUAUUCUAAUUAUAUUCUUUUAAUUAGCAACCACUCUUUGUUCUUCAGCUUCCCCAAAGUGUGACUGAAAUCACUUCCUAAGGCAAAGCAGUUUGUAAUUUUUAUGUAAGAUGACAUGUUAUUAAG
ensembl:lncRNA